AAUCUGCCCUCAGGAGGGGGACAACAGCUGGAAACGGCUGCUAAUACCCCGUAUGCCGCGAGGUGAAAUGAAUUUCGCCUGAGGAUGAGCUCGCGUCUGAUUAGCUAGUUGGUGUAGGUAAUGGCUCACCAAGGCAUCGAUCAGUAGCUGGUCUGAGAGGAUGAUCAGCCACACUGGGACUGAGACACGGCCCAGACUCCUACGGGAGGCAGCAGUGGGGAAUUUUCCGCAAUGGGCGAAAGCCUGACGGAGCAACGCCGCGUGAGGGAUGAAGGCCUCUGGGCUGUAAACCUCUUUUAUCAAGGAAGAAGAUCUGACGGUACUUGAUGAAUAAGCCACGGCUAAUUCCGUGCCAGCAGCCGCGGUAAUACGGGAGUGGCAAGCGU
rnacentral:rRNA from 1 species